GAAGAAAGCACCGGCUAACUCCGUGCCAGCAGCCGCGGUAAUACGGAGGGUGCGAGCGUUAAUCGGAAUUACUGGGCGUAAAGACGCAUGCAGGUGGUUUGUUUAAGUCAGAUGUGAAAGACCCGGGGCGUCAACCUCGGAAUUAGCAUUUGAAACUAGGCAGACUAGAGUACUGUAGAGGGGGGUAGGAAUUUCUAGGUGUAGCGGUGAAAUGCGUAGAGAUCUGAAGGAAUACCGGUGGCGAAGGCGGCCCCCUCGGACAGAUACUGACACUCAGAUGCGAAAGCGUGGGGAGCAAACAGGAUUAGAUACCCUGGUAG
rnacentral:rRNA from 1 species